GCCAGCAGGCAUAUAACCCUGCAACUCCCAGAUGGCAGCCCACUGAAGCUCAGCAGGUGUGAGCCUGGCCAGUACCUGGAUGGGAGACUUCUGGGGAAAAACAAAGGUUGCUGCUGGAA
rnacentral:rRNA from 1 species